rnacentral:lncRNA from 1 species
CCUUUAGCGAUUAGGUCAUCCUAUAAUCUAAUAGGAUUUGACUAAUUGAAUCUAAUUUUUUUAGACUUGAUCCAAACUUUAAUGCUCAAUCAAAUUAAGCUAAUCAAUAAUCUAAUUACUAAUUAAUCUUCAUGAAUUUUACUAACUCUUAGUGAAUAAUUUUAUUGCAACAAUUGCACAAGGUUAAUCAUCGAUCGUAUUAAUGAUUUUACUCUCGAACGAUUCUCAAUCAUCGAUCAGCCAU